rnacentral:rRNA from 1 species
ACAUGCCUACAACAUAGCAUUAAUGCACCGGAUCCCAUUAUAAAUUCACAGUUAAGUGCACUCAGGCUAGAGUAGUAUUGGGAUGGGUGACCGCCCGAGAAUUCCUAGUGUUUUACAUGCC